GACGAACGCUGGCGGCGUGCCUAAUACAUGCAAGUAGAACGCUGAAGGAGGAGCUUGCUUCCCUGGAUGAGUUGCGAACGGGUGAGUAACGCGUAGGUAACCUGCCUGGUAGCGGGGGAUAACUAUUGGAAACGAUAGCUAAUACCGCAUAAUAUUGACUAUUGCAUGAUAGUCAGUUGAAAGGUGCAACUGCACCACUACCAGAUGGACCUGCGUUGUAUUAGCUAGUUGGUGGGGUAACGGCUCACCAAGGCGACGAUACAUAGCCGACCUGAGAGGGUGAUCGGCCACACUGGGACUGAGACACGGCCCAGACUCCUACGGGAGGCAGCAGUAGGGAAUCUUCGGCAAUGGACGGAAGUCUGACCGAGCAACGCCGCGUGAGUGAAGAAGGUUUUCGGAUCGUAAAGCUCUGUUGUAAGAGAAGAACGAGUGUGAGAGUGGAAAGCUCACACUGUGACGGUAUCUUACCAGAAAGGGACGGCUAACUACGUG
rnacentral:rRNA from 1 species